GAGAUACUUGACAUGGCAUAUUCUUGGUUUUCACUACUCUCGAGCAUGAUUUCUACAUACGUAAAUUAUACGGGUUUUACGGUGAGGGGUUAUUAUUUUUGGAAAGAGAAAUGGUUUUAAAAAGCUUUGUUUUUGCCCACUCACAUUUUUUUGUUUUGUACCCCUCAAGGUUCUAGUUAGACGUUCGUGUUGGUGGCUUACGAGGACUCUACGGCGGUUCAGACAGACUUCAAUUAAUGUAGGAAUUUCUUUCUUGUCUUGUAUAAAAAA
rnacentral:lncRNA from 1 species